rnacentral:rRNA from 1 species
UACAGAGGUCCCAAGCGUUGUUCGGAUUCACUGGGCGUAAAGGGUGCGUAGGCGGUCGGGUAAGUCUGGCGUGAAAUUCCUGGGCUCAACCUGGGGACUGCGCUUGAGACGUGUGGGCUUGAGUGGGGAAGAGGGUCGUGGAAUUCCCAGUGUAGAGGUGAAAUUCGUAGAUAUUGGGAAGAACACCGGUGGCGAAGGCGGCGACCUGGUCCUUGACUGACGCUGAGGCGCGAAAGCGUGGGGAGCAAACAGG